rnacentral:rRNA from 1 species
AGUGAACGCUGGCGGUAGGCCUAACACAUGCAAGUCGAACGGCAGCACAGUAAGAGCUUGCUCUUACGGGUGGCGAGUGGCGGACGGGUGAGGAAUACAUCGGAAUCUACUUUUUCGUGGGGGAUAACGUAGGGAAACUUACGCUAAUACCGCAUACGACCUACGGUUGAAAGCAGGGGAUCUUCGGACCUUGCGCGAUUGAAUGAGCCGAUGUCGGAUUAGCUAGUUGGCGGGGUAAAGGCCCACCAAGGCGACGAUCCGUAGCUGGUCUGAGAGGAUGAUCAGCCACACUGGAACUGAGACACGGUCCAGACUCCUACGGGAGGCAGCAGUGGGGAAUAUUGGACAAUGGGCGCAAGCCUGAUCCAGCCAUACCGCGUGGGUGAAGAAGGCCUUCGGGUUGUAAAGACCUUUUGUUGGGAAAGAAAAGCAGCAGGUUAAUACCCCGCUGUUCUGACGGUACCCAAAGAAUAAGCACCGGCUAACUUCGUG